rnacentral:rRNA from 1 species
UACGUAGGGUGCGAGCGUUGUCCGGAAUUAUUGGGCGUAAAGAGCUCGUAGGCGGUGUGUCGCGUCGGCCGUGAAAACCUGCAGCUUAACUGUGGGCUUGCGGUCGAUACGGGCAUCACUGGAGUUCGGCAGGGGAGACUGGAAUUCCUGGUGUAGCGGUGAAAUGCGCAGAUAUCAGGAGGAACACCGAUGGCGAAGGCAGGUCUCUGGGCCGAUACUGACGCUGAGGAGCGAAAGCGUGGGGAGCGAACAGG